rnacentral:rRNA from 1 species
AAAUUGAAGAGUUUGAUCAUGGCUCAGAUUGAACGCUGGCGGCAGGCCUAACACAUGCAAGUCGAGCGGCAGCGGAAAGUAGCUUGCUACUUUGCCGGCGAGCGGCGGACGGGUGAGUAAUGUCUGGGAAACUGCCUGAUGGAGGGGGAUAACUACUGGAAACGGUAGCUAAUACCGCAUAACGUCGCAAGACCAAAGAGGGGGACCUUCGGGCCUCUUGCCAUCAGAUGUGCCCAGAUGGGAUUAGCUAGUAGGUGGGGUAACGGCUCACCUAGGCGACGAUCCCUAGCUGGUCUGAGAGGAUGACCAGCCACACUGGAACUGAGACACGGUCCAGACUCCUACGGGAGGCAGCAGUGGGGAAUAUUGCACAAUGGGCGCAAGCCUGAUGCAGCCAUGCCGCGUGUAUGAAGAAGGCCUUCGGGUUGUAAAGUACUUUCAGCGGGGAGGAAGGUGUUGUGGUUAAUAACCACAGCAAUUGACGUUACCCGCAGAAGAAGCACCGGCUAACUCCGUGCCAGCAGCCGCGGUAAUACGGAGGGUGCAAGCGUUAAUCGGAAUUACUGGGCGUAAAGCGCACGCAGGCGGUCUGUCAAGUCGGAUGUGAAAUCCCCGGGCUCAACCUGGGAACUGCAUUCGAAACUGGCAGGCUAGAGUCUUGUAGAGGGGGGUAGAAUUCCAGGUGUAGCGGUGAAAUGCGUAGAGAUCUGGAGGAAUACCGGUGGCGAAGGCGGCCCCCUGGACAAAGACUGACGCUCAGGUGCGAAAGCGUGGGGAGCAAACAGGAUUAGAUACCCUGGUAGUCCACGCCGUAAACGAUGUCGACUUGGAGGUUGUGCCCUUGAGGCGUGGCUUCCGGAGCUAACGCGUUAAGUCGACCGCCUGGGGAGUACGGCCGCAAGGUUAAAACUCAAAUGAAUUGACGGGGGCCCGCACAAGCGGUGGAGCAUGUGGUUUAAUUCGAUGCAACGCGAAGAACCUUACCUACUCUUGACAUCCAGAGAACUUUCCAGAGAUGGAUUGGUGCCUUCGGGAACUCUGAGACAGGUGCUGCAUGGCUGUCGUCAGCUCGUGUUGUGAAAUGUUGGGUUAAGUCCCGCAACGAGCGCAACCCUUAUCCUUUGUUGCCAGCGGU